ACUCCUACGGGAGGCAGCAGUGGGGAAUAUUGCACAAUGGGGGAAAGCCUGAUCCAGCAAUGCCGCGUGUGUGAAGAAGGCCUGCGGGUUGUAAAGCACUUUCAAUUGGGAAGAAAAGUUUACGGAUAAUACCUUUGCACCUUGACGUUAACUUUAGAAGAAGCACCGGCUAACUCUGUGCCAGCAGCCGCGGUAAUACGGAGGGUGCGAGCGUUAAUCGGAAUUACUGGGCGUAAAGCGCGCGUAGGCGGUUUGGUCAGUCAGAUGUGAAAGCCCUGGGCUUAACCUGGGAACUGCAUUUGAUACUACUACACUAGAGUAUGGUAGAGGGAAGUGGAAUUCCGGGUGUAGCGGUGAAAUGCGUAGAUAUCCGAAGGAACACCAGUGGCGAAGGCGACUUCCUGGACCAAUACUGACGCUGAGGUACGAAAGCGUGGGUAGCAAACAGGAUUAGAUACCCUGGUAGUCCAUCGCCGUAAACGAUGUCAACUAGCCGUUGGGGACAUUAAGUUCUUAGGGGCGCAGCUAACGCGAUAAGUUGACCGCCUGGGGAGUACGGCCGCAAGGUUAAAACUCAAAGGAAUUGACGG
rnacentral:rRNA from 1 species